rnacentral:tRNA from 1 species
GCCGGGAUGGUGGAAUGGGUAGACACGCGGGACUUAAAAUUCCGCGGGCGCAAGCCCGUGCCGGUUCAAGUCCGGCUCCCGGCA